AGUCUCCUGAGCAUAAGGAUGGGAACAGAAGAGCAUAACCUCAGAUGCAAUAGAAAGCAGCUGGAGAAGAUGAUUCUUAACAAAGAAAAGGAUCAGUAGGAGAACAGGAUUUGGCCCAUUAGACUUCAUUUGCAAUGUGGGGAGGUUGUGAAAAUACCACUUUUAAAAAGCUAGCUGCAAUCUGUCAUUUAAUUUCAAGAGUCCCUGCAGCACUGAGAUUCAGAUGUUCUGUCCCAUGUGGAAGUUAAAGGUGGCUGGACAAAAGAGAGAAGGACG
rnacentral:lncRNA from 1 species